rnacentral:rRNA from 1 species
AUUGAACGCUGGCGGCAGGCCUAACACAUGCAAGUCGAGCGAGCGGCGGACGGGUGAGUAAUGUAUGGGGAACUGCCCGAUAGAGGGGGCUAACUACUGGAAACGGUGGCUAAUACCGCAUACUAUCGGAUGAACCCAUAUGGGAUUAGCUAGUAGGUGGGGUAAAGGCUCACCUAGGCGAAGAUCCCUAGCGGGUCUGAGAGGAGGACCAGCCACACUGGAGAGUAGACACGGCCCAGACUCCUACGGGAGGCAGCAGUGGGGAAUAUUGCACAAUGGGCGCAAGCCUGAUGCAGCCAUGCCGCGUGUAUGAAGAAGGCCUUAGGGUUGUAAAGUACUUUCAUCGGGGAGGCGUUACCCGCAGAAGAAGCACCGGCUAACUCCGUGCCAGCAGCCGCGGUAAUUC